UAGGGAAUAUUGCUCAAUGGGGGAAACCCUGAAGCAGCAACGCCGCGUGAGUGAUGAAGGCCUUCGGGUCGUAAAGCUCUGUUGUACAAGAAAAAUGAGGGUAUGGCUAACAUCCAUACCCAGUGAUUGUACUGUAUAAGAAAGGACCGGCUAACUUCGUGCCAGCAGCCGCGGUAAGACGGGGGGUCCUAGCGUUGUUCGGAAUCAUUGGGCGUAAAGCGUGUGCAGGUGGUUUGGUAAGUUGGAUGUGAAAGCCUUGGGCUUAACCCAAGAAGUGCAUUCAAAACUCCCAAACUUGAGUAGGGAAGAGGGUCGUGGAAUUCCUGGUGUAGUGGUGAAAUACGUAGAUAUCAGGAGGAACACCGGUGGCGAAGGCGGCGACCUGGUCCUAUACUGACACUCAUACACGAAAGCGUGGGGAUCAAACAGG
rnacentral:rRNA from 1 species